rnacentral:rRNA from 1 species
GAUGAACGCUGGCGGCGUGCCUAAUACAUGCAAGUCGAGCGAACGGACGAGAAGCUUGCUUCUCUGAUGUUAGCGGCGGACGGGUGAGUAACACGUGGAUAACCUACCUAUAAGACUGGGAUAACUUCGGGAAACCGGAGCUAAUACCGGAUAAUAUUUUGAACCGCAUGGUUCAAAAGUGAAAGACGGUCUUGCUGUCACUUAUAGAUGGAUCCGCGCUGCAUUAGCUAGUUGGUAAGGUAACGGCUUACCAAGGCAACGAUGCAUAGCCGACCUGAUAGGGUGAUCGCCCACACUGGAACUGAGCCACGGUCCAGGCUCCUACGGGAGGCCGCAGUAGGGAAUCUUCCGCAAUGGGCGAAAGCCUGACGGAGCAACGCCGCGUGAGUGAUGAAGGUCUUCGGAUCGUAAAACCCUGUUAUUAGGGAAGAACAUAUGUGUAAGUAACUGUGCACAUCUUGACGGUAACUAAUCAGAAAGCCACGGCUAACUACGUG